rnacentral:rRNA from 1 species
UGCGCCUUGCCAGCCCGCUCAGAAACUCAAAUGAAUUGACGGGGGCCCGCACAAGCGGUGGAGUAUGUGGUUUAAUUCGAUGCAACGCGAAGAACCUUACCUAGGUUUGACAUCCGGAAGACCUUCCCGAAAAGGAAGGGUGCCCUUCGGGGAAUUCCGAGACAGGUGCUGCAUGGCUGUCGUCAGCUCGUGCCGUGAGGUGUUGGGUUAAGUCCCGCAACGAGCGCAACCCUAUUGCCAGUUGCUACCAGGUAAUGCUGGGCACUCUGGUGAGACUGCCCCGGUUAACGGGGAGGAAGGUGGGGACGACGUCAAGUCAUCAUGGCCCUUACGCCUAGGGCUACACACGUACUACAAUGGCGCAUACAAAGGGCAGCGAUACCGCGAGGUGGAGCCAAUCCCAAAAAGUGCGUCCCAGUCCGGAUUGCAGUCUGCAACUCGACUGCAUGAAGUUGGAAUCGCUAGUAAUUCGAGAUCAGCAUGCUCGGGUGAAUGCGUUCCCGGGCCUU